CCUACGGGAGGCAGCAGUGGGGAAUAUUGCACAAUGGGGGGAACCCUGAUGCAGCAACGCCGCGUGGGUGAAGAAGUACUUCGGUAUGUAAAGCCCUGUCAGCAGGGAAGAAAAUGACGGUACCUGACCAAGAAGCCCCGGCUAACUACGUGCCAGCAGCCGCGGGAAUACGUAGGGGGCAAGCGUUAUCCGGAUUUACUGGGUGUAAAGGGAGCGUAGACGGCAAGGCAAGUCUGGAGUGAAAGCCCGAGGGUCAACCACGGGACUGCCGUGGAAACUGUGUUGCUUGAGUGCAGGAGGGGUAAGCGGAAUUCCUGGUGUAGCGGUGAAAUGCGUAGAUAUUAGGAGGAACACCGGUGGCGAAGGCGGCUUACUGGACUGUAACUGACGUUGAGGCUCGAAGGCGUGGGGAGCAAACAGGAUUAGAUACCCCAGUAGUC
rnacentral:rRNA from 1 species